GAGAACCUGGAAGUAAAACCAUCUGGAUAUUGGUCACCAAAAUGUUGAAGAAGACAUCCAGAAGUAUUCUUAAUUAUCAUCUUUGUCAUAACUAUGUUACGGCUGUUGUGAGACCCCAAUCCACAAAUUGACUUGCAAAGGACAGGAAAGUUCACUCCUAUAUUUUGAAGGCACUAUAUAAUUGGAAAGAAGAUAGCUGACAUGUUGAGAUUAACUUUGGCCCCGAUUGUUUGCUCCUUUUAAAUAAGGAGAAGCAAAGCUAGGAAUUCUAUGACAUGUCUUUGUUUCUGGUGAGAUCAUUAUGAGUCUUUUCACAUGUCAAGAGAUUUCACUGUGUAAGCUAAAAAUAAAAUUCUAAGCCCCCAUUGACUGAACGACCCUCUUUUGUAACCAAAGGGACCCCAGAAAAAGCUUAAGAACUUAGUUUGCAGCCAUACCGGAAUGGGAGGUCAGACAGAGCAGUCUAUUUGUGGCAAUAAGAUAUCAAAUUAUAAACAGAACUGAAGGCCAUGCCAGACAAGGGUUAAGUCACACAGCCUUGGACUUAAAAAAUAAACUAUGCUCCAACUGCUACAAGGCUUUUCUUUUUCUCAAGGAGGUAAACAAGCACUGGCCUCAAGAUAAGCAAUAUUAAAACAACUACAGCUCAUCCAACUCUUAGACACUGACUUCCAGCCCCUGUUCCACCAGAUAUACCUUUCAUUAAACAAGAUCCUGAUUUCAGUAACUUUCUCCAGAGAAGAAGACCACCGACCUUAGACUGGUUCUGGUUGGAUUAAAGAGAGUGUACCCUUGCAUGCCAUUGUGUCCUGCAAGACAUUUUGACGUAUAGAACCUAAUUAUAAAACCAUUAAAUGUUAAGUCUCUACCCCGAAGUGGACAAGGAUUGUAUGUUACAUGCAUUUUUGUUCAAUAUGCAUGUGUCAGGAUCAUCUUCAUAAAUAUUCAUAGCUCCGCCUGUAACCAGUUUAAUAUGUAUGUUUAGCCAACCCAUUCGGCAUAAAGCUCUUGCCCCAACCCCUCUUUUUUCAAAGUGCCUGUCUUUGAUCUUGGUUGGACACAUGUUUUCCAGCCUACGGGAUGACCACCUUGCAGAUUGUCACCCUUUAAUUAUGAAGAAAUGAAGUCUCCAUUUCUACUUUCCAAAUUUAUCGAUAUUGUGGUUACAUUUUUUAAGUUAGCAGUUAUUUAGACCUUACUUUUUUCUAGGCUCUUUGUUGUCUCAUAUUGUGACUGGGCUUGGCUGGAUGACCAGCAGUGCCAUUUCUUCUUCUGAGGGGGAGUAACUAGACAUUUCCCACCUCCCUUACAGUUCAGUGUGGUUAUGUGACUGGUUUCUAGCCAAUAGGAACUAAGAUGAUGUCUUCCCAACAUGAUCUUUGGCUCUCUCUCUUUUUCCAAAUAUAUAGCAAGAAGGAAAGGAUUUCAAGUCACUAGGAAUGAUGGAACCACAAAAUAGAAGGAACUUGAAUAGAAGGAACUUUGAAUAGAAGGAUUGAAAGAAAGCAGAGCCUCUCUUUCAAUCCGCACUGGACUGUGGCAAGAUCAAGAAAUUAACAUUGAAUGUGUAAGCCACUGAAAAUUUGCAGAUGUUGUAAUGCCACUGAACUUUUAAUUAUGUAAGGGUUGGAAAGUGCCAACAUCUACCUGUAGACAUAGCUUCUCAAUACUGGAUUUUGGUUAAUCAAUGCAAAGGAAGAGGCAAAGUAAGAUUCUUUCAAUUAAUCUGUCCUUGAAUGUGAAGAACUCUUGUUAGCAUUUCUUCUACUCAGUAGAAAAGUAGUACACCCUGGUUUUCUCUAUUUGCAAAUGUUAAAGUUUUUCUUGGUGGAAGCACAUUGAUAAAUGAGGCAUCUUAGGACUAGAAGAAAUCUUAGGAAUGAUACAGUCCAGUCCACUUACAGUUCAGUACACAUUCCAUUUUAGAAUGGAAGAAAUUUAGGAACUGAAAGUAUGAGUGAAACUGAUAGUUGCUGGCACAGCCAAGAAUCAAACUCAAGUUUCCUGACUUCUUACUUUUCAGUGUUGUUUUCACGACAGUGUUCCCAACCAUUACUCCCACCCCUACAUAAGCCUUAUGUCCUAUGGCAUGGUUAAGUUAGAAAAACAGAAGGUUAACAUUUGUGUCAUUUGUUAUCAGUUUUCCUUGUAAGACUUCCUGAAAUAAUCGUCAGCAUUCAAAAGCAAGUUUAAAAGAAGAGCAAAAUGCUUUGGAGUGAAAUUAUGGCUUAUCAAGAGUAUGAAUUUUUGGUGAAAAAAAUGGAUAUUGAAAACAAAAUUAAAAGAUAUUGGCUGUUUGCUUAAAUAUCCUCAGAAUAAUGGCUAGUGUAAAAAUUAGCACCAUUGAUAUACCCAUAGCAGGUGAGCAAUUAAGUGAACCAAGAGCACUUUGCUUUAAUGUACAUGAAAGUGCUUUGAAGAGUGUAAGAAUGAUUCUUAUGUUAGUUGUUGCAGUAAUAAUCCUAGGAGCAUACACAGUGGGUGCUCAGUAAAUGUUGACUGAUGCUUUCCUUCUGCCUCCAGGCUGCGCAAUACCUAAAACAUUUCAGACAGAUGAAAAUCUGAUCUCUGUUUAAAGUUGGUCUCUGAGAAAGAUAAUUUUCAGCCUCCUGAAAAUGGAAUAUUCCACAAUCUUGUUCUCAAAUUCCUACAUGUCUACAACUCUCUGACUUGAAAGGCAGCUGUCUCUUUUAGGUAUGUCAUGUGGUCUGUAAUUUUCCAUAAUUGCCACCGUUCCCUACUACCUCCUGGCACAAGCAUGCUUUGCUCACUUAUGGUAUCUGCUUGGCCUCUGUAAGCAUUUUAGUUUGUGAUCCCUGCAUGAUGUGGAGAGUCAUAUUGGAUCAUCCCUUUCAAAUGACAAAAAUACUAAUACCAACAAGCAAAUCAAACCUACCUGGGGUCCUUAACGAUAUGGCUUGACUGUUAGCUAUGAUUUCUGGACUUGCCCAGUAGUCUAGACAGUCCCUGAUUCUUCUCCUUUGGAAUGCUUACUAACAAAUUACCAAGGGCUCACUUGGGAAGAGCAGGUUCCCACUAUACCAGGACCUUAUAUGAUACAGUUUUCUUUCUUUCUUUCUUUCUUUCUUUCUUUCUUUCUUUCUUUCUUUCUUUCUUUCUUU